rnacentral:rRNA from 1 species
CAGUAGCCGCGGUAAAACGAGGGGGGCAAGCGUUGUUCGGAAUUAUUGGGCGUAAAGGGUGCGUAGGCGGUUUGGCAAGUUUGGUGUGAAAUCUUCGGGCUCAACUCGAAGUCUGCAUCGAAAACUGCCGGGCUUGAGUAUGGGAGAGGUGAGUGGAAUUUCCGGUGUAGCGGUGAAAUGCGUAGAUAUCGGAAGGAACACCUGUGGCGAAAGCGGCUCACUGGACCAUAACUGACGCUGAUGCACGAAAGCUAGGGGAGCAAACAGGAUUAGAUACCCCAGUAGUCCCUGUCUCUUAUAC